rnacentral:tRNA from 1 species
GCAUCGGUGGUUCAGAGGUAGCAUUCUUGCCUCCCAUGUGGGAGAACUAGGUUCAAUUCCUGGCCAAUGCA